GGGGCUGUGGCGUAGCUUGGUAGCGUACUAGCAUGGGGUGCUAGUGGUCGUGAGUUCGAAUCUCACCAGCCCCG
rnacentral:tRNA from 1 species